rnacentral:rRNA from 1 species
AGAGUUUGAUCAUGGCUCAGAUUGAACGUUGGCGGCAGGCCUAAUACAUGCAAGUCGAGCGGUAACAGAUCGCUAGGAUCCCUUCGGGGUGACUUUGAUGCUGACGAGCGGCGGACGGGUGAGUAACGCGUAGGAAUCUACCCAGUAGCGGGGGAUAGCCCGGGGAAACUCGGAUUAAUACCGCAUACGCCCUAAGGGGGAAAGGGGGGGAACUCUUCGGAGACCUCUCACUAUUGGAGGAGCCUGCGUUGGAUUAGCUAGUUGGUAGGUAAAGGCUCACCUAGGCGACGAUCUCUAGCUGUUCUGAGAGGAUGAUCAGCCACACUGGGACUGAGACACGGCCCAGACUCCUACGGGAGGCAGCAGUGGGGAAUAUUGCACAAUGGGCGAAAGCCUGAUGCAGCCAUGCCGCGUGUGUGAAGAAGGCCUUCGGGUUGUAAAGCACUUUCAGCGAGGAGGAAAGGUUAUGUGUUAAUAGCACAUAGCUGUGACGUUACUCGCAGAAGAGCACCGGCUAACUUCGUUGCAGCAGCCGCGGUAAUACGAGUGGUGCAAGCGUUAAUCGGAAUUACUGGGCGUAAAGCGUUCGUAGGCGGUCUAUUAAGCAAGAUGUGAAAGCCCAGGGCUCAACCUUGGAACUGCAUUUUGAACUGGUAGACUAGAGUACUGUAGAGGGUGGUGGAAUUUCCAGUGUAGCGGUGAAAUGCGUAGAGAUUGGAAGGAACAUCAGUGGCGAAGGCGGCCACCUGGACAGAUACUGACGCUGAGGAACGAAAGCGUGGGGAGCGAACAGGAUUAGAUACCCUGUAGUCCACGCCGUAAACGAUGUCAACUAGCCGUUUGUGGACUUGAUCCGUGAGUGGCGCAGCUAACGCACUAAGUUGACCGCCUGGGGAGUACGGCCGCAAGGUUAAAACUCAAAUGAAUUGACGGGGGCCCGCACAAGCGGUGGAGCAUGUGGUUUAAUUCGAUGCAACGCGAAGAACCUUACCUGGUCUUGACAUCCACAGAACUUUCUAGAGAAGACUUGUGCCUUCGGGAACUGUGAGACAGGUGCUGCAUGGCUGUCGUCAGCUCGUGUUGUGAAAUGUUGGGUUAAGUCCCGUAACGAGCGCAACCCUUAUCCUUAUUUGCCAGCGAGUUAAGUCGGGAACUAUAAGGAGACUGCCGGUGAUAAACCGGAGGAAGGUGGGGACGACGUCAAGUCAUCAUGGCCCUUACGAGUAGGGCUACACACGUGCUACAAUGGCUGGUACAAACGGUUGCAAUCCUGCGAGGUGGAGCUAAUCCCACAAGCCGAUCGUAGUCCGGAUCGGAGUCUGCAACUCGACUCCGUGAAGUCGGAAUCGCUAGUAAUCGUGAAUCAGAAUGUCACGGUGAAUACGUUCCCGGGCCUUGUACACACCGCCCGUCACACCAUGGGAGUGGGCUGCACCAGAAGUCAUUAGCUUAACCUUUCGGGGAUGGCGAUGACCACGGUGUGGUUCAUGACUGGGGUGAAGUCGAAACAAGGUAACC